rnacentral:rRNA from 1 species
UACGAAGGGGGCUAGCGUUGCUCGGAAUCACUGGGCGUAAAGCGCACGUAGGCGGGUCGUUAAGUCGGGGGUGAAAUCCUGGAGCUCAACUCCAGAACUGCCUUCGAUACUGGCGAUCUUGAGUCUGGGAGAGGUGAGUGGAACUCCGAGUGUAGAGGUGAAAUGCGUAGAUAUCUGGAGGAACACCGGUGGCGAAGGCGGCAUCCUGGACCGAGAUUGACGCUGAGGCGCGAAAGCCAGGGGAGCAAACGGG